rnacentral:lncRNA from 1 species
AUCUAUGAAGAGCCAUACAGCCCUCCACCCUCCAUUUCCCCAUGGAACACUGGCCAUAUAGAAGUUCAAGGCCCUGAAUUUUGCAUUAAAUAAAGGUUGCCAGGUGGAAGUUGUUAGGGAAAGAGUGUUAAGUGAAAAUGCUAUAUAAACUGCAUGCCUUUUGCAAGAAGUUGCUGUUCUCCUGCCAAGCCUGCUGCCACUGGGCUCUCUUCGGUGUAUGUAAAAAUAAAACCCCAUGUCUCAUGGGUGUUUAUAACAAUGGCUGGGAGCUUGAACAUUAAUUCUGUUCAAUUCAACAAACACUUGUUGAGAACUCACAAGUUGCCAGGUGUCAUUCUAAAACAGUAAGGGGAUUCAAAUACAAGUAAAAUUGUCCUUGCUAUUAAGAAUCU